rnacentral:rRNA from 1 species
CCCUUAGAUGUUCUGGGCCGCACGCGCGCUACACUGAUGCAUUCAACGAGUCUAAAACCUGGUCUGAUAGGGCUGGGUAAUCUUUUGAAUGUGCAUCGUGAUUGGGAUAGAUGAUUGCAAUUCUUCAUCUUCAACGAGGAAUGCCUAGUAAACGCAAGUCAUCAGCUUGCAUUGAUUACGUCCCUGCCCUUUGUACACACCGCCCGUCGCUCCUACCGAUUGAAUGUUCCGAUGAAUACCAUGGACUGAGAGUAUGAAUGGGUUCGCCUAGUUCUGCUUCUCGGGAAGUGGAGUAAAUCUUAACAUUUAGAGGAAGGAGAAGUCGUAACA